CUCCUUUGACGUUAGCGGCGGACGGGUGAGUAACACGUGGGUAACCUACCUAUAAGACUGGGAUAACUUCGGGAAACCGGAGCUAAUACCGGAUAAUAUUUCGAACCGCAUGGUUCGAUAGUGAAAGAUGGUUUUGCUAUCACUUAUAGAUGGACCCGCGCCGUAUUAGCUAGUUGGUAAGGUAACGGCUUACCAAGGCGACGAUACGUAGCCGACCUGAGAGGGUGAUCGGCCACACUGGAACUUAGACACGGUCCAGACUCCUACGGGAGGCAGCAGCC
rnacentral:rRNA from 1 species